rnacentral:rRNA from 1 species
CAGCCGCCGCGGUAAUACAGAGGGUGCGAGCGUUAAUCGGAUUUACUGGGCGUAAAGCGUGCGUAGGCGGCUUCUUAAGUCGGAUGUAAAAUCCCUGAGCUUAACUUAGGAAUUGCAUUCGAUACUGGGAAGCUAGAGUAUGGGAGAGGAUGGUAGAAUUCCAGGUGUAGCGGUGAAAUGCGUAGAGAUCUGGAGGAAUACCGAUGGCGAAGGCAGCCAUCUGGCCUAAUACUGACGCUGAGGUACGAAAGCAUGGGGAGCAAACAGGAUUAGAGACCCCAGUAGUCCCUGUCUCUUAUAC